CUCGGGGAACGUCACCAGCUUGCCUUGGAAGGCCUUCUCGCUGCAUUUCAUCUCCCUCUUCCUCACUCCCAAACCACAGCUCACGGAACACUGGGGGCCAAGAAAGGAGGCGUCAGGGCGCAGACUCCACCCUCCACAUGUCAUCAGAGGGAUGGGACUAGGGCAGAUCAGCCACAGCCCACCAGGCUCCUGAAGGCAGGGCCUCAAGUCCGGCCUGCGACAGAAGCCAGAGAAUUGGAGUCACUUUCCCAAGGUCACAGCAUGGCUCAGCACCACAAAACAAAGGCCAGCCCUGCCAUCACACACCAAAGCUGCCUUAAGGCAGGAAAAACAAAAAGAGGAUGGAGGCUGAUGAAAGAAGUCUGAGGAAACCGCUUUUGUUUUUUUUAUGUGACUGACUGCUAUUUUAUUUAAAUAUUUCCUUACUUCCACUGUACAGAUUUUCUUUUUCAAAAACUUUAAAUUUUGUAUUGGGGCACAGCUGAUCAACAACGCUGCGACAGUUUCAGGUGAAGAGCAAAGGAACUCAGCCGUAUAAAUGCAUGUGUCCACAUGUGCACGGGUGCCCCACCCCGCUCCCACCCAGGCUGCCGUGACCUGGGCAGAGUCCCCUGUGCUCGGCAGGAGGCCCUUGUUGCUCAUCCAUUCUCGAUGCAGCGGCAGGUACACGUCAGUCCCGAACCCCUCAACCAUCACUUCUCCCUCGGCAACCGCAGGCUGGCUCCACUGUCUAUUUCAUAAGUUCAUUUGUCUUUAGAUUCCACACAGAAGGCAUGUCACAGGAUAUUUCUCUUCUCUGACUUACUUCACUCAGCAAGACAGUCUUUAGGUUCAUCCAUGUGACUGCACAUGGCAUUAGAGAAAACCAUUUUUAAGUAUUUUAAACAGUAUUCUGGGACACUGUACAGGGCCUUGAUGAACUGCAUAAAGCAGUAAGAAAUGGCAUCAGCAUAACCAUCACAGAUCAUGAAGGCGAGGGAUCAGAUCAAGACGGCAGAGAGGCAGGAUGUGGGGCUCCCCUUCUGCCCCGAAGACAUCAAAACCAGUUAUGUGGAGAACGAGUCUCACAGAACGUCUAGCCAACGCUGGCAGAAGACCUCAGAGCUCCCAAAAUGGGCAGCAAAGUCCUAGGAUCCUCUACCCCGCGAGGCUACCAUUUCAAAUGGAAGGAGAUAAAGAAUUUCUCAGACAAGCAAAAGCUAAAAGAAUACAGCAACACUAACUCUAUCAUACAGGAAAUUCUGAAAGGUCUUCUCUAAAUAGCAAAGUAGCAAGAAGAUACAGGAAGGAGGACAUCACAAAUGGAAAGUAAAUCCACCUAAAUCAGCCAGUAUACAGAUCAAAGAGAGAAAACCAUGUGUGAGGGCAGUGACACACACAAUGAGCAACAAAGGAUGCACAAGGCAAUGGAAAAAAGGGACAUCAAAAUCAUAAAAUGUGGGGAAGGAGAGGAAGAAGACGAUUUUUCUUUUUUUUUGGAAUGUGUUUGAGCCUAUAUGACUACCUGUCCAAAGCAAGCAGAUAUAGGAAGGGGCUAACAUACUUGAAAAACAGGGCAACCACAAAUCAAACCACAGUAUAAUUCACAGAAACCAAAAAGAACACAAGCAUAAACGGAAAGGAAAUCAUUAAACCACCAGAA